rnacentral:rRNA from 1 species
CCCUUAGAUGUUCUGGGCCGCACGCGCGCUACACUGACGGAGGCAGCGAGCAUGUCCUUCGCCGAGAGGUGUGGGGAAUCUUGUGAGUCUCCGUCGUGCCGGGGAUAGAUGGUUGCAAUUGUCGAUCUUGAACGAGGAAUUCCUAGUAAGCGCGAGUCAUCAGCUCGCGCUGAUUACGUCCCUGCCCUUUGUACACACCGCCCGUCGCUACUACCGAUUGGAUGGUUUAGCGAGAAAUUUGGACCGGAGCUCGGGUGGUCAGCGAUGGCCGCCCGAGAUGUCCCGGGAAAUCUUUCCAGCUUGAUCAUCUAGAGGAAGUAAAAGUCGUAACA